GGGGGUUUAGUAUAAUGGUAGUACCAUGGACUCCAAACCCAUUAGUAGAGGUUCGAAUCCUUUAACCCCCGCCA
rnacentral:tRNA from 1 species